GUUGCUUACAAGUGAGGUGCAUAAGCAAGUUACUGCCUACGUGAGAAACGAACCUGCUCACAGUAAUAAUAAUUGCAUAAAGGUAAAAUGAACUAGACAGGGUUAACUGAACAAACUACCGGCAAGAUUCUGAUAAAUCAUUUACAAACCUGCAACCAACAGACUUUUGGCUGCUACGUUCCUAGCAUUUGAUGUUCCAGGACAAUAAUGCUGUUUAUCUUACGUUCCAGGUCUUCUUCCUCAACCUGGUGCCGGUGCACUCGCACAUAUACAACACCCGCAGAUCUGCUUAGGUAAAGCUGUUGCCGGCGCCCCUCCUGUUGCUGCGAGAUGAUCUAGUUACGCCUCCCUCCACGUUGGUGCAUUUGACGAUUCACUCCAAGAUACAUGGGGAUGUUCUUUGCCUAGCCUAAUCGAAUAUAUGGCUGCCUCCUUCGACUUGAACGACUCCUACAUCACCGCGCGCGUCCCCCAUCGGCGAGCCACAGAAGGUCAUCUUCCUCAACCUGGCGCCGGUGCACCCGCAGAUCUGCUUAGGUAAAGGUGUUGCCGGCGCCCCUCCUGUCGCAGCAAGAUGAUUUAUUUAUGCCUCCCUCCACGUUGGUGCAUUUGAUGAUUCACUGCAUGAUACAUGCAAAUGUACAGCUGCCUCCUUCAACUGGUACGACUCCUACAUCACCGUGUCUCCCAUCUGUGAGCCACAGAAGCUCAGCGAGGAUUCUUUGCUGAAAGGAAGAGUUACCCAUCCAUGGUGAUGAGGCAUAAGAGUUGUUGCCUCUGCAUUUCUUUUGCCCGCUGCCUUAUAACUAGAUCAGGAUAUUGAAAAGGAGGAGUAGAUGCAUGGCAGCCAAUUAAGGUAUCAGCUGUUAUGUAUUAGUUGGCCAUAUAAAAAUUUGCAGAUUCUUGUGGUGGUAGCGGGGUGAGGAGGCGCCUCCUUUCGGAGGUGUGCAACAUCAAAUUUUGAUUCCUCUAUCUGUUUAUCUUGUUUGUUUGGUGGCUGCAAGGGAAGAUAAAUUGGAUGGUUAUGUUGCUGCCUAGGAAUAGGAUGGAUGAAUCCUCCUUGUAGUGUUUUGAGUGGUAAUCC